rnacentral:rRNA from 1 species
GCCGUAACUUGCUCUCUGGGUGACGAGCGGCGGACGGGUGAGUAAUGUCUGGGAAACUGCCUGAUGGAGGGGGAUAACUACUGGAAACGGUAGCUAAUACCGCAUAAUGUCUACNGACCAAAGUGGGGGACCUUCGGGCCUCAUGCCAUCAUAUGUGCCCAUAUGGGAUUAGCUAAUAUGUGGGGUAGUGGCUCACCUAGGCCACGAUCCCUAUCUGGUCUGAGAGGAUGACCAGCCACACUGGAACUGAGACACGGUCCAAACUCCUACGGGAGGCAGCAGUGGGGAAUAUUGCACAAUGGGCGCAAGCCUGAUGCAGCCAUGCCGCGUGUGUGAACAAGGCCUUCGGGUUGUAAAGCUCUUUCNNCGAAGAGGA